UUUCUAAAUCAGAGACCUGAAUCUGGCUCCAUUAGCACCUGUGUCACUCAGAGGGAGUCAAGCUCUGGUUUGGAAACGUCUCAGCUCCAGCAGCAAUGUAGGGGCAUGAAUGAGGCCUCCAGGAAACCAGCCAUGGUCUUUGGUAUGCUUGUCUAGAUGGCAGCCAGUUCUUCACAGCAGGAGUUACAUAAGCAGUUUGGAUCAGCAAUGCUCCCAUCUUUUGCUGGACCAAGGUAACAACCUCCUUUCCGUAUUUUUUUUU
rnacentral:lncRNA from 1 species